rnacentral:misc_RNA from 1 species
AUCCAUGGUAAUCAAAAUAAGGAUCAGACAAGAUCCAAUAAAAAAAAAGGGUAAAAUCAUAUGUGAGUUCUCUCUCCAAAAUUCUGAAGCCUAUGUCUGGACUGCAACUAUUAACUAUUACAUACCCACAGAAAUGUGAAUGAGUUAUAGAAGUAAUAGCAAACCAAAGAUUCCACGAAAAUGCAUAUCAAGAAACAUGAUAACAUUCAAGAUCGCAAUGACUAGUUUAAGCAUUAGGAAAAAGAAGUCAUUUAUAAUGAACAAUCAAUUUCUCACCAUACAGAGAAG